UAGAACACAAAUUUAAUUAUAUGGGCUUGCAGGCCGAAUUUCCAAGUGAAACAAAACAGUUUCAGACGAUGGCCGCUUCCCCAACACAAGAUUUGAAGGAAAUAAGAAUAGCAAUGGUCGGUAAAACUGGAGUAGGAAAAAGUGAAGUCGGAAACAACCUGCUACAAAAUAAGACGUUUGAGUCUUCCGCAAUUGGAACGUCUGUUACAUCGCAAUGUAAGUUUGGCACCAGAAUA